GGAGUUUUCUGAUCCUACAAAUCUUUUGAAGUAGGAAUGUUUGGAGUAUCCAUAGAUACCUUUUGAUGAAUUAUGAUGUCAAUGUAUUGAUGAUGCACAUAUAUAUUCAAGUAAGUAGGUAAAAUAGUCCAUUUCAAAAAGACGCUAUGUUUUUACUCAUCCGUUUCUCAUAACACAGCAAAUUAGAAAUGGGUUUCACAUUUGUAUUGAUUUCAGCAUCUUGGAUUGCACUUACACUGAAAUAUCCCAGGAUAUUUCCCAAGGAUACUUAUCCCAGCAACUUACACUGUUUUCUUAUUCUGUAUAGGCAGUGACCUCCUCCCAGGACUCCACUGUGCACAACUGUCAUACAGCUCAACACUGUUGUCCCUGGAUUACCUCGCUGCUUUGAUCUGUCACUGAAGAGAUUACGUGACUGUGUAAUGUUAUUGCCAUAGUGAAUACUGUCUGAUAUCAAGGGGAUGAAAAUCAAGAGUUGUGAAACUUAAAUGUUGUGCCACUCAUGGUAUUCAUCAAGAAGCACUGUUACUAGAGAAACAUGAAGAUGAGUUCUGAAAAUUUCAUUGUGAAAUGAAAUUGCUGUUUGUUGGCUAAUUCUCUGGCGGGUGGUUCAGAUACAAGGCCCCGAAACCUCAAGAAGGCAAGAGGUCAAAGGAUGCAACAGAGGUGAAGGAAAAGAGUCGUGGCAAAUAAACCUUACUAUGACCUCCAGAAGUCAACAAGCUCUGUUUUGAUGUUAGAAGGGAGAUGAAAAUAGAAUAUAUAUAUAAAAGAAGAAACAAAUCCAAAGAUUACUGAAAUUCAACAGUGCUUCAGAUGAUCACUCUUCAGUGAAGAAAAGGACUUUUCACUCUCGACAUAGGGCAAUGCCUUUGAAAUCGAUGAGCUUAAAUGAAGCAUAGACUGGGGACAUCUACCGUUCUCAUCACAGCUGCUGCCACAUCAUGGAGAGUAUUGCUAACACAAUGGAAGAGGAAUUAAGCUGCCCAUCUGUGCAAAGUAGGCUGUUUUGUCUGCUCACGGUUGAUUAGUGGGAGCAAAUGGACUUUUGCUAAUGUUGGGGGCACAGUUCUGGAAGAUGGAAGACCCACAUUCGAGUCCCUCCUCUUGCUGAUUAAGGUAAGAGAUUUUAUUGUUUCAGUAUAUUGCAUUGUUUCAGCCGUAUGUCAGUGCUACUGCACAACCGUAGUGAUGUUACCCAAGUUUGAGUUUGCCCUUGUCAAGCCAAGUAGGGAUGACUGAACUUGGUAGAUUUGUCUCUACAAUGCUUACUAGUUACAUCCACACCUUAUUAGAAAUGUGCCAGAGCUUCCUAUAGGAGUCUGAUGUACUUCAGCAUUCCACUACUGCUGAACAUUAUAUCAUCCUUCACCAAAUUCAUUUUCAUGACUUCCAGUGUGUUCUACUCCAAAAAAGGGAGGGGCUCAGGCCUGUUGGUAUUUGCACAACACCCAAUAAAUUACCUAUAGUUUUGAUAGUGGAAGACAGCAGUCCAUAUUUCAUCAGCUCAGGAAUCUACAGAACCUUCACUGAUGUUUUUUCUGCUUCUUUCCAAAAAUUGAAAGGCAACAUUUGGGGGGGAGAGAGUAAUCAUAUUUGUUUCCAUACUUAAAGAGCACAUGAAAUUAUAGACUAUUUUACUCACCUGAAGGUACCCGUUUCAGCAUACAUUUCUGUUCUGUUCGUUUUGUUUUUCCAGUCAAGUAUUUUGAUAAAUUUAUUUAAUUUCUGGUGGUGUAUGGAAGAAAAGCCUGAAGCCUGGUUACUCUGAGAUGGAAAUGCUGUUUGGUUUUCAGGAGUUUCAGCGACUCGUAAAAAGAAACAUGUCCCUCAUAUUGCAGAAGUAGAAAGUAC
ensembl:lncRNA